ACUACAUAAGAAUAAAGUAAGGCGAUGCAAUUAUGUGUAGAUAUGUGCUUUAGGCUAUUUCCUUUUUUGGCGUCUUGUAACUUUAUGUGGUCACUUCAUUUGCUUCGCCAAGGGGAGGCGCUCUUGCUCUGAAGUAUUCGGCUGCCAUUUUCUUCGUGCACGUUUUUUUCGUAUGCUCUGCAGUUUAGAACUUUCUGUACCUGCGAAUUUUUCGGCAAUGUUGGAAAAACUGCCUUCAGGAUACAAGGCUCGCUGCGCUGCUGUGUGACGUGGGAGCUCGAGGAGCAACACGAGGGCGACAUGUUUCUGUUUCCCAGCGGACGUGUGGGAAUCCGCCACCACCGUGCAGCGUUGACGCGAAGCACUGCAUCCUGAGGCUAAGGAGCACCGACGGUGAGCGCUUCUGUAGUCUCAGCGCAGCGAACGCUCCAACGCGGCGUAGCCUGGUGUAGCCGGGUGUAGGCCUUCCGCUCAGGUGACGACGCACUUUCUACACAUUGUUAUUCCUCCGCGUUUGUCUAGCCUGUGCAACUCGUGCCCUACGGAGUUUAGCGUCAACAUACAUCAGCACUGCUUACACGCAGCCAACUGCUCCGAUCGCGAUGGAAUCUACUAAGAGAACUGCUGCGUCAAUUAGCGCAGAAAGGCAACGACGUUCGCGGGCGAAUCUCGAAGCCAGCUCGAAGCAGUACGUCAUCGCGUGUUUGCGGCACAAUCUCGGAUCUAUGGCACUCAUAUUCCUCAAGCUGAGCACGUCGCUACUAAGCUGGCUGCAAAACACACUAAGGAACAAUACCAGGAUGCUCGUACGCUCACCGAAGCGAUUCCAUAGCACGACGCCGCUCGCCAACAGGACAGCCGUACGCCAAGCAAUCCGGCAACACGGUCGCCAGCCACCAAAUCCUCCACCUAUCCCUGCACCGGACUAUGAGUGCACAAAGCAAACACGCAAAACAUUCUGUGAAGACACGUUUUCAUUUGAUGUUCUACCGAUUCCUAUGAAAGAAGGAUAAAACAUAUCUUUUUUUCACCCAAUUUCACCUAUUUAUUAUUGCUACAUUUCACUUGAAUAAACAAGUAAUUUCCCCUGCG